rnacentral:misc_RNA from 1 species
AAGUCGUAACAAGGUAUCCGUAGGUGAACCUGCGGAUGGAUCAUUACCAAAGUGAUUCCAUCCUACCCCCUGUGAACUGUAUCUACCACGGUUGGUGUCAGCCCUUGGCGUUACUCGCGCCUUGGGCACCGAACCGGAACCGCUCUCAAGCUCUUCGGGGUGAGAGGGUGGCUGCUUGGCUUGGGGUCCGCUUGCGGGUCUUGAGCUUGCGGUUCAGAGCGACUCUUCGGGGUCGUGAUGACGGACCGUCGAUCUUGGCCGAACGUCUCUAGGUGCAAGAUCAAGUGGCUAGUUCUGGCUUCGGGAUGCCUUCUCGUACAUCUCAACCUCUUUAACAAUAAGCACUGAAGUAACCUAUUGAACCAUAUACAACUUUUAGCAAUGGAUCUCUAGGCUCUU